rnacentral:lncRNA from 1 species
CAAAAGGCUUACAAGUGUGAACAAUCUGGGCAUGUUUACAAGUGGACACAGGGUGGGACGAAUUGGGAAAUUCAGAUUGACAUGUGUAAAGUAGAUAGCUAGUGGGAACUUGCUAUAAAGUUCAGGAAGCUCAGCUGGGUGCUCUGUGAUGACCUAGAUAUGUGGGGGUGGGGUGGCAGGGAGGAGCAGGAGGGAGGGAUGUUUAUGCAUAUGGCUGACUUCACUUCACCGUACAGCAGAAAUUAACACAACAUGGUAAAGCGAUGACACUCAAAGAAAGAGAAAUGGCAGGAAGCCCACGUGGCUGGGGGAAGGGAGGGAGAGUGUGGAGGGAGAGGGGUUUGGAGAGAGAGCAGGCUCAAAUCUUUUAAGCCCUGGGAAGGAGCUUGGGUUUUAUUCUAAGUGGCCUGACCUGGGUUCUGCUCAACACCACGCAGGUUCUUGAAUGAGUCUUGGUUACUGGUCCUUGUAGAUCAGGGUAAGUCAGGGUGGUGCCAACAGCAGGGGAAGAGGAGAGGUGGGUCAAAAGAUACCCAGUUCACCCUCCAGGAAAAGGAAACCACAUCCCAGCGUGGAUGAGGAGCUAGGCUCAGGCUCAGGGUCUGCCGACAAGGGCUAUCUAUGGCCAGACGUCUCCAAAUUCAGGGCAGAAACGCCUCCUGGUUCCAGGAAGCCCAGGGAUGCAAGCAAUAAAAAAAAUUUCAGGAUCUGGUUUGGAAGAUAAGCUACUUGGAUGCGGACUCAGAACUGCCGAGAUGGACUGAGAGGCACAUUCGAUUGGUCGGGAGUCCCUCGAGAGAUGGCCCUGAUCUGAUCUUACUGGAAUCUGCAACUCCUGUAAAAUGCUGCCCGGGGCAUGACUCACAGAGGUGAUGUCCAAACCGCUGCCUCCAUCCCGGCCCCCCAGGCUCCUCCCUCUUUCUGCAGCUGCAACCCGAGAGGCCUCUGCUCCCUCCAGGGAGGGGCCCUGGGACCUGGCGUCAGCUUCCUUGCCUGGCCAGCUGCCUCUGCACACUGCAGGUCACCCGGAUGUCCUGGAUUUCAGGGCAGAGCAGCAUGUUGGGAGAGUCCAGACAGCAGAAGUCUCGUCUCAGGUCAGGUUCCUAGAGGGAGCAGACAUAUUCUUACGGAAUCUCAAAACGAAACAGCAGUUGUCUCUUUCUGCCUGGAAUCCACCGUCUCUCUUCUGACCACAACACUUUGACUUUCUUCUCGGAAACCACCAUUCCUUUGCUGGUCCUCCUGCUUAUGGGAUGCAGACCCCCAACCCUUAACAGCAAAGAAGCACCUGAUUAAGG